GAUGAAGAACGUAGCGAAAUGCGCUAAGUAAUGUGAAUUGCAGAAUUCAGUGAAUCAUCGAAUCUUUGAACGCACAUUGCGCCCGCCAGUAUUCUGGCGGGCAUGCCUGUUCGAGCGUCAUUACAACCCUCAGGCCCCCGGGCCUGGCGUUGGGGAUCGGCGGAGCCCCCCGUGGGCACACGCCGUCCCCCAAAUACAGUGGCGGUCCCGCCGCAGCUUCCAUCGCGUAGUAGCUAACACCUCGCGACUGGAGAGCGGCGCGGCCACGCCGUAAAACACCCAACUCUUCUGAAGUUGACCUCGAAUCAGGUAGGAAUACCCGCUGAACUUAAGCAUAUCAAUAAGCGGAGGA
rnacentral:misc_RNA from 1 species